GGUAGUGUGGUGUAGUGGUUUGAACAUUGGAUUGCAACUCUAGAAGCCAGGGUUGGAAUCUCUAUUCAGCCA